rnacentral:rRNA from 1 species
GACGAACGCUGGCGGCGUGCUUAACACAUGCAAGUCGAACGGUGAUCUUGAGAGCUUGCUCUUGGGUGAUCAGUGGCGAACGGGUGAGUAACACGUGAGCAACCUGCCCCUGACUCUGGAAUAACUUCGGGAAACCGAAGCUAAUACCGGAUAUGACACAGAGCCGCAUGGUUUCUGUGUGGAAAGUUUUUCGGUUGGGGAUGGACUCGCGGCCUAUCAGCUUGUUGGUGAGGUAAUGGCUCACCAAGGCGACGACGGGUAGCCGGCCUGAGAGGGCGACCGGCCACACUGGGACUGAGACACGGCCCAGACUCCUACGGGAGGCAGCAGUGGGGAAUAUUGCACAAUGGGCGAAAGCCUGAUGCAGCGACGCCGCGUGAGGGAUGAAGGCCUUCGGUUGUAACCUCUUCUAGUAGGAAGAAGCGCAAGUGACGGUACCUACAGAAGAAGCACCGGCUAACUACGUGCCAGCAGCCGCGGUAAGUCUAGUCUACG